GGGUUGUGAGGUUAAGUGACUAAGCGUACACGGUGGAUGCCCUGGCAGUCAGAGGCGAUGAAGGACGUGCUAAUCUGCGAUAAGCGUCGGUAAGGUGAUAUGAACCGUUAUAACCGGCGAUUUCCGAAUGGGGAAACCCAGUGUGUUUCGACACACUAUCAUUAACUGAAUCCAUAGGUUAAUGAGGCGAACCGGGGGAACUGAAACAUCUAAGUACCCCGAGGAAAAGAAAUCAACCGAGAUUCCCCCAGUAGCGGCGAGCGAACGGGGAGCAGCCCAGAGCCUGAAUCAGUGUGUGUGUUAGUGGAAGCGUCUGGAAAGGCGCGCGAUACAGGGUGACAGCCCCGUACACAAAAAUGCACAUGCUGUGAGCUCGAUGAGUAGGGCGGGACACGUGGUAUCCUGUCUGAAUAUGGGGGGACCAUCCUCCAAGGCUAAAUACUCCUGACUGACCGAUAGUGAACCAGUACCGUGAGGGAAAGGCGAAAAGAACCCCGGCGAGGGGAGUGAAAAAGAACCUGAAACCGUGUACGUACAAGCAGUGGGAGCACGCUUAGGCGUGUGACUGCGUACCUUUUGUAUAAUGGGUCAGCGACUUAUAUUCUGUAGCAAGGUUAACCGAAUAGGGGAGCCGAAGGGAAACCGAGUCUUAACUGGGCGUUAAGUUGCAGGGUAUAGACCCGAAACCCGGUGAUCUAGCCAUGGGCAGGUUGAAGGUUGGGUAACACUAACUGGAGGACCGAACCGACUAAUGUUGAAAAAUUAGCGGAUGACUUGUGGCUGGGGGUGAAAGGCCAAUCAAACCGGGAGAUAGCUGGUUCUCCCCGAAAGCUAUUUAGGUAGCGCCUCGUGAAUUCAUCUCCGGGGGUAGAGCACUGUUUCGGCAAGGGGGUCAUCCCGACUUACCAACCCGAUGCAAACUGCGAAUACCGGAGAAUGUUAUCACGGGAGACACACGGCGGGUGCUAACGUCCGUCGUGAAGAGGGAAACAACCCAGACCGCCAGCUAAGGUCCCAAAGUCAUGGUUAAGUGGGAAACGAUGUGGGAAGGCCCAGACAGCCAGGAUGUUGGCUUAGAAGCAGCCAUCAUUUAAAGAAAGCGUAAUAGCUCACUGGUCGAGUCGGCCUGCGCGGAAGAUGUAACGGGGCUAAACCAUGCACCGAAGCUGCGGCAGCGACGCUGAUGCGUUGUUGGGUAGGGGAGCGUUCUGUAAGCCUGUGAAGGUGUACUGUGAGGUAUGCUGGAGGUAUCAGAAGUGCGAAUGCUGACAUAAGUAACGAUAAAGCGGGUGAAAAGCCCGCUCGCCGGAAGACCAAGGGUUCCUGUCCAACGUUAAUCGGGGCAGGGUGAGUCGACCCCUAAGGCGAGGCCGAAAGGCGUAGUCGAUGGGAAACAGGUUAAUAUUCCUGUACUUGGUGUUACUGCGAAGGGGGGACGGAGAAGGCUAUGUUGGCCGGGCGACGGUUGUCCCGGUUUAAGCGUGUAGGCUGGUUUUCCAGGCAAAUCCGGAAAAUCAAGGCUGAGGCGUGAUGACGAGGCACUACGGUGCUGAAGCAACAAAUGCCCUGCUUCCAGGAAAAGCCUCUAAGCAUCAGGUAACAUCAAAUCGUACCCCAAACCGACACAGGUGGUCAGGUAGAGAAUACCAAGGCGCUUGAGAGAACUCGGGUGAAGGAACUAGGCAAAAUGGUGCCGUAACUUCGGGAGAAGGCACGCUGAUAUGUAGGUGAAGCGACUUGCUCGUGGAGCUGAAAUCAGUCGAAGAUACCAGCUGGCUGCAACUGUUUAUUAAAAACACAGCACUGUGCAAACACGAAAGUGGACGUAUACGGUGUGACGCCUGCCCGGUGCCGGAAGGUUAAUUGAUGGGGUCAGCGCAAGCGAAGCUCUUGAUCGAAGCCCCGGUAAACGGCGGCCGUAACUAUAACGGUCCUAAGGUAGCGAAAUUCCUUGUCGGGUAAGUUCCGACCUGCACGAAUGGCGUAAUGAUGGCCAGGCUGUCUCCACCCGAGACUCAGUGAAAUUGAACUCGCUGUGAAGAUGCAGUGUACCCGCGGCAAGACGGAAAGACCCCGUGAACCUUUACUAUAGCUUGACACUGAACAUUGAGCCUUGAUGUGUAGGAUAGGUGGGAGGCUUUGAAGUGUGGACGCCAGUCUGCAUGGAGCCGACCUUGAAAUACCACCCUUUAAUGUUUGAUGUUCUAACGUGGACCCGUAAUCCGGGUUGCGGACAGUGUCUGGUGGGUAGUUUGACUGGGGCGGUCUCCUCCUAAAGAGUAACGGAGGAGCACGAAGGUUGGCUAAUCCUGGUCGGACAUCAGGAGGUUAGUGCAAUGGCAUAAGCCAGCUUGACUGCGAGCGUGACGGCGCGAGCAGGUGCGAAAGCAGGUCAUAGUGAUCCGGUGGUUCUGAAUGGAAGGGCCAUCGCUCAACGGAUAAAAGGUACUCCGGGGAUAACAGGCUGAUACCGCCCAAGAGUUCAUAUCGACGGCGGUGUUUGGCACCUCGAUGUCGGCUCAUCACAUCCUGGGGCUGAAGUAGGUCCCAAGGGUAUGGCUGUUCGCCAUUUAAAGUGGUACGCGAGCUGGGUUUAGAACGUCGUGAGACAGUUCGGUCCCUAUCUGCCGUGGGCGCUGGAGAACUGAGGGGGGCUGCUCCUAGUACGAGAGGACCGGAGUGGACGCAUCACUGGUGUUCGGGUUGUCAUGCCAAUGGCACUGCCCGGUAGCUAAAUGCGGAAGAGAUAAGUGCUGAAAGCAUCUAAGCACGAAACUUGCCCCGAGAUGAGUUCUCCCUGACUCCUUGAGAGUCCUGAAGGAACGUUGAAGACGACGACGUUGAUAGGCCGGGUGUGUAAGCGCAGCGAUGCGUUGAGCUAACCGGUACUAAUGAACCGUGAGGCUUAACCUUACAACGCCGAAGCUGUU
rnacentral:rRNA from 1 species